rnacentral:misc_RNA from 1 species
AACUUACAGCAACGGAUCUCUUGGUUCUGGCAUCGAUGAAGAACGCAGCGAAAUGCGAUAAGUAAUGUGAAUUGCAGAAUUCAGUGAAUCAUCGAAUCUUUGAACGCACAUUGCGCCCCGUGGUAUUCCGCGGGGCAUGCCUGUUCGAGCGUCAGUACAACACUCAAGCUCUGCUUGGUAUUGGGUCGCGUCAGCAAUGACCGGCCUUAAAAACAUUGGCGGUGCCAUCGUGCUCUGAGCGUAGUAAUACUCCUCGCUAUAGAGUCUCGGUGCGUGCUUGCCACUAACCCCCAACUUUCUAAGUUUGACCUCGGAUCAGGUAGGGAUACCCGCUGAACCUAAGCAUAUCAAUAAGCGGAGGCU